GCCCCCUCCCUCCCACGGCGGGAGAGCGGGCAACGGAAUCCCAAAAGCAGCUGUUGUCUCCAGAGCAUUCCAGCUGCGCUUGGAUUUCGUUCCCUGCUCUCCUGCCUGAGCAGCGUCCUGGCCC
rnacentral:pre_miRNA from 15 species